rnacentral:sRNA from 1 species
AUCUGACUAUCCUCUUUGCUUCCUACACCCUGCCCCUGCCCCCCUGCUUUCCUCAAUCCAAGAAAUUAAUUCAUCUUCCCUUUUCCAAUCCUGGAACCCCUCCUUCUUUCAGAUAACACAGCACGGAUUCUAACCAGGAGGUCUGGUUUCCGGCAGCAGGAGCAGAGUGUCUUUCACCUGCCUAUCCUGAUAGCAGAUAGCGGGCAGCCCGUGCUGAGCAGCACAGGCACACUGACCAUCCAAGUGUGCAGCUGUGACGACGACGGCCACGUCAUGUCCUGCAGCCCAGAGGCCUACAUGCUCCCAGUCAGUUUGAGCCGGGGCGCCCUCAUUGCCAUCCUCGCCUGCAUCUUUGUCCUCUUAGUGCUGGUGUUGCUCAUUUUGUCCAUGAGGCGGCACCGGAAACAACCAUACAUCAUCGACGACGAGGAAAACAUCCACGAGAACAUCGUCCGCUACGACGACGAGGGCGGCGGCGAGGAGGACACCGAGGCCUUCGACAUCGCGGCCAUGUGGAACCCCCGGGAGGCGCA